AUACGUAGGUGGCAAGCGUUAUCCGGAAUUAUUGGGCGUAAAGAGUGAGCAGGCGGUUAAUUAAGUCUGAGGUUAAAGCGUGGGGCUCAACCCCAUAAAGCCUUGGAAACUGAUUGACUAGAGUACGGGAGAAGUGAAGGGAACUCCAUGUGUAGCGGUGAAAUGCGUAGAUAUAUGGAAGAACACCAGUGGCGAAGGCGCUUCACUAGCCCGAAACUGACGCUCAGUCACGAAAGCGUGGGUAGCAAAUAGGAUUAGAUACCCUAGUAGUCCACGCUGUAAACGAUGACAACUAAAUAGUGCCGCGAGGCAGUGUUGAAGCUAACGCAUUAAGUUGUCCGCCUGUGGAGUACGGUCGCAAGACUGAAACUUAAAGGAAUUGACGGGG
rnacentral:rRNA from 1 species